rnacentral:misc_RNA from 1 species
CCCUCAUACAGAAACACAUCCCAAAUUCGAAGAGCCAAAUGAAAUGGAAAAGAGUAGGAGAAAACAGUUAUAAACCACUGACUUGCAUACAUGCUCGGAUUUAUCAUUUCUUGGGUGAAAUGCUCUCCCAGCUUUGGCAUAUGCUCCUUCACCAAGUGAUCAAACUGAAAAAGAUAUUGUUGUACAAGAGGCAGUCCCGCCUGAUAUAAGCCUUGCAUUGGAGCAUGGACAGCUCCUUUCAGUAAUGCAACCAACAACCAAAAUGCAUCCUCUUCACUCAUAUAGAGAAGCAAUAAACCAGCUAAAAAGCCCAUUCCCUGAACAUAUCCAACUUCUCUAUCAAAGACUGAGUACGCCUUCAAAACAUUGUAGAGGGACCUUUGACCAGGUCCAUGUCUUUGCUGGAAGAAAACAUGUGAAGGGAAGGUGCGAGAAAUAUCUCGAAUUAUAUCCAGCUCUGAUGCUGAUGUCUCAUAUAUGACUAAUUGCUCAUAAACCCCAGGAUUCAUCAGCAAAAGGUCUCGACUUCCAGAGAUCAAUUGCCAAACAAGGCCCCUUAAACAAUCUGGAAUUCCCUUUCUUAUUCGUCUCUUAACCACAUGAGGUUUCCUCCUAACAUAAUGUUUCCAAUCACUUCCUCCGACUCCAAUCAUCUUCCUCCAUUUCCUUACUCUUCUUUCCUCCCUCUCAAAUUCAUAUGCUGACCUGCCCUUUGUUAAGCCUUCAGGAGAAUUACCAAGAUCUUGCUUUACAAAGCCAAAUCGGUCCAAUUGUUUCGGUGAAGGAAGUGGCCCUGGUUCAUAGUCAUCCAUUCUUUUCUUUUCCAUUCCAAUUUCCACCAAGUCAAAGAAACUCCAAUAUGCUACAACGUGAGGGAUAUAAGUCUGGUUUCCUAGACAUGAUGAUCAUUUGACCAACCUCAUAUCAAUUAAAAUGCUAAUUGUGAAAAAACCUGGGUUUUGAGUAAAUGGAGUCUGGGAAUUACAGAAACUUCUGAUGAUGAUGAUGAUGAUCUAAACACAAAAUUCCAUGUACUGAUACAGGCAAAACUGUAUCCCUAUGCAAUAAAGAGGCAAAGUGAAAAAUCUAAUAAAUCCCAAUAGGUAAAUAUGCAAGACCGGUAGUUUUGGCGCACCAAUCUGAGCUGAACGCGUGCAUCGCAAGAGAAAAUAU